GGUCAUCAGAUAGGAGCGAA
rnacentral:snRNA from 1 species